CAUGCAGUCGACGAGCCCUUCGGGGUUAGUGGCGGACGGGUGAGUAACGCGUGAGGAUCUGGCCUCAGGAGGGGGACAACAGUUGGAAACGACUGCUAAUACCCCAUAUGCCGAGAGGUGAAACGUUUUUUCGCCUGAGGAUGAACUCGCGUCUGAUUAGCUAGUUGGUGAGGUAAGGGCUCACCAAGGCGACGAUCAGUAGCUGGUCUAAGAGGAUGAUCAGCCACACUGGGACUGAGACACGGCCCAGACUCCUACGGGAGGCAGCAGUGGGGAAUUUUCCGCAAUGGGGGGAACCCUGACGGAGCAACGCCGCGUGCGGGAAGACGGCCUUAGGGUUGUAAACCGCUUUUCUCUGGGAAGAAGUUCUGACGGUACCAGAGGAAUAAGCCUCGGCUAACUCCGUGCCAGCAGCCGCGGUAAGACGGAGGAGGCAAGCGUUAUCCGGAAUUAUUGGGCGUAAAGCGUCCGCAGGCGGCUUGUUAAGUCUGCUGUUAAAAGCCACAGCUCAACUGUGGGUGGGCAGUGGAAACUGAUGAGCUAGAGCGUGGUAGGGGUAGAGGGAAUUCCCGGUGUAGCGGUGAAAUGCGUAGAUAUCGGGAAGAACACCAGUGGCGAAGGCGCUCUACUGGGCCAUGACUGACGCUGAGGGACGAAAGCUAGGGGAGCGAAAGGGAUUAGAUACCCCUGUAGUCCUAGCUGUAAACGAUGGACACUAGGUGUUGGGCGUAUCGACCCGUCCAGUACCGCAGCUAACGCGUUAAGUGUCCCGCCUGGGGAGUACACACGCAAGUGUGAAACUCAAAGGAAUUGACGGGGGGGCCCGCACAAGCGGUGGAGUAUGUGGUUUAAUUCGAUGCAACGCGAAGAACCUUACCAGGGGCUUGACAUCCCUCGAAUCCUCUUGAAAGGGGAGGAGUGCCUUCGGGGAGCGAGGAGACAGGUGGUGCAUGGCUGUUCGUCAGCUCGUGUCGUGAGAUGUUGGGUUAAGUCCCGCAAACGAAGACGCAACCCACGUCCUUAGUUGCCAGCAUUAAUGUUGGGCACUGAUGGGGAGACUGCCGGGGGACAACUCGGAGGAAGGUGUGGACGACGUCAAGUCAUCAUGCCCGUUACGUCCUGGGCUACACACGUACUACAAUGCUACGGACAGAGGGCAGCGAGCGUGCGAGCGCAAGCAAAUCCCAGAAACCGUGGCCCAGUUCAGAUUGCAGGCUGCAACUCGCAUGCAUGAAGGAGGAAUCGCUAGUAAUCGCCGGUCAGCAUACGGCGGUGAAUACGUUCCCGGGCCUUGUACACACCGCCCGUCACACCAUGGGAGUUGGCCACGCCGGAAGUCCUUACUCUAACUGUUCGCGGAGGAGGGCGCCGAAGGCAGGGUUGAUGAUUGGGGUGAAGUCGUAACAAGGUAGCCGUACCGGAAGGUGUGGCUGGAUCACCUCCUUUUAGGGAGACCUACCUCUCUUGACUCCGAGACAGUCAAAUUAGGAGCAAGAGCAGGUCAAACCUAGGUCGGUCAGGGCUUUGGAAGACUUCUAGACUAUUGUUGAGGGGCUAGGGGCUAUUAGCUCAGGUGGUUAGAGCGCACCCCUGAUAAGGGUGAGGUCCCUGGUUCGAGUCCAGGAUGGCCCACUGAGUGGGGGUAUAGCUCAGCUGGUAGAGCGCCUGCUUUGCAAGCAGGAUGUCAGCGGUUCGAGUCCGCUUACCUCCACCAAUUCAGCGAGAGAGCAUUUAGCACGAUAGGCUUGACGAGGUUACAGAGGUAACUGGAGUUGGGGGUAUCCUGCUGAGUGAGAGCUCAGCGAGCACCUAGACAACUGCAUAGAGAAGCGAAGAGAAAAGUAGGUAGAAGCACAGACAGAUAUAGCGAGCCGAGCGAGAGCGAAAGGUCAAGCUAUAACGGGCUCAUG
rnacentral:rRNA from 1 species